UGGGAGUAGAGGAAGUAGAGGAGAAAGAGACUGUAGUGGAGGAACAAGCUGAGAACACAGCAAGACCAUUGGACAUAGAGGUGAUGCCGGCCCGACCAACUGAGGAGACCACCCAGACAAGACGCGGUUGGUGGACACCAAAUUGCCUGAGAAGACAAAACAAGAGCAGCAGCAUCAGAAAGAGCAGCAGGAACAGACUAACAAGAUGCCUCAGGUUCUUCUGCUGCUGCAGUUAUGAUGACACCGGCGAAU